GAUGACGUCAAGUCCUCAUGGCCCUUACGGGUUGGGCUACACACGUGCUACAAUGGUAGUGACAAUGGGUUAAUCCCAAAAAGCUAUCUCAGUUCGGAUUGGGGUCUGCAACUCGACCCCAUGAAGUCGGAGUCGCUAGUAAUCGCAGAUCAGCAACGCUGCGGUGAAUACGUUCCCGGGCCUUGUACACACCGCCCGUCACGUCACGAAAGUCGGCAACACCCGAAGCCG
rnacentral:rRNA from 1 species